AUUGAACGCUGGCGGCAGGCCUAACACAUGCAAGUCGAACGAGUGGCGGACGGGUGAGUCAUGUCUGGGAAACUGCCCGAUGGAGGGGGAUAACUACUGGAAACGGUAGCUAAUACCGCAUACCAUCGGAUGUGCCCAGAUGGGAUUAGCUAGUGGGGGGGGUAAUGGCUCACCUAGGCGACGAUCCCUAGCUGGUCUGAGAGGAUGACCAGCCACACUGGAACUGAGACACGGCCCAGACUCCUACGGGAGGCAGCAGUGGGGAAUAUUGCACAAUGGGCGAAAGCCUGAGGCAGCCAUGCCGCGUGUAUGAAGAAGGCCUUCGGGUGGUAAAGUACUUUCAGCGAGGAGGCGUUACUCGCAGAAGAAGCAACGGCUAACUCCGUGCCAGCAGCCGCGGUAAUAC
rnacentral:rRNA from 1 species